CGGCGAACGGGUGAGUAACACGUGAGCAACCUGCCCCGAAGACUGGGAUAACACCGGGAAACCGGUGCUAAUACCGGAUACCCCCACCAAGCCGCAUGACCAGGUGAGGAAAUGAAUUUCGCUUCGGGAGGGGCUCGCGGGCUAUCAGCUUGUUGGUGGGGUAACGGCCUACCAAGGCGACGACGGCUAGCUGGUCUGAGAGGACGAUCAGCCACACUGGGACUGAGACACGGCCCAG
rnacentral:rRNA from 1 species